rnacentral:lncRNA from 1 species
GAACUCACAAGGACGGGGAUAGUACAGAUUGUUUGGAGACUGAACCAGGAAACAUGGGGUCCACAGGUGACACAGGGGACUAAGAAUUGGCUCCCCCAAAAUUCUAGUGGAACCCAGGGGAGAUCCCUAGGAUAAAGUCUUCCAGAAUGGGCCAGCAAGUAUUGGGCACUGAGGGUGCACUGUUUUAAAAUCUUCAGACCAACUGGCAUUCAGAGAAGAGCCUGGAGGCCAUCUAAGCCUGAACACUGCCUCUAGAAUUUCUGCCUUCAGGAUUACCUCUCACACCCCAAAAGAUCCCACCUAAAACUACUGAGAAGAGAAGCUGAGAAUAUUUUGAACUCCAACAGUAAGAAUUCUUUAAAAAUCUUCAUCAAGAUUUUUCCUUUCUUUGUUUUCUUCUUUUUCUCUGUUUAAUUGUGACCUUGAUGAUACAUGAACAUUUAUAUAGUUUCAUAUUUUUUCUCAUUUCUAGCAUUUUUGAAGCCAGUUAUUUUACAUGGAUUAUUUUUUUGUUGUUGUUAACUAGGACUUUUUUUAGUAUAUUUUAGUUUUGUUUUAUGUUCUUUUAUUUUUUAACUUUUUAAAAUUUUUACUUUAUAUGUACCUUCUUCUCUUUUUCCCCCUGAUUCUCUCUUUUCUUCCACUGACAGCCAAUCUCUUUUUCUCUUUCACUCUUCCUUUAAUCUUUCCCUUUGUCUUCUCCCCUUCUCCUUCAUAAGCAUCACAUCCUAUAUCGCUCCUUUUCUCUCCCUGUCCACCAUUUGAAACUGUAAACCCUUUUGUAAACUUGCUCUUUUUAUUAUAGACAAUAACUGAUCAUAUCAUUUCUGUUUAUUGUGAUAAUUAACAUUGUACACAUCAUAGUAGGAAUUAUUUGGUUUAAUGAUGUAUUAUUUUUGCAUUGGUUGUUGUAAUUAUUUGUCUGCCCCUAAACAGUGAGGUACUGGAUACUUUCAGGAACACUAUAAGUUCACGGGCCAGAAAUGCUACUGCCUCAGAUCCACACUGUUAGAUGGGUAGACACACAAACAACAUGAAAAAGCAAGGGAACAAAUUGCCCCAAGCAAACCAAGACACUCAAAUAACAGAAUCCAUCCACACCAUAGUGAAAGAAAUAUCAAGAGAAGGAGUUUAGAAUGUACAUAGUUAAACUGAUCUGUGAAAUAAAGAAUGGUAUACGGAAUGAAAUCAAAGAGAAAAUAUAAGAAGUGAACAAUCACUUUAAUAAAGAGGCAGACAUUCUGAACAAAACAAACAGAUAGAAAUCCUCAAAAAUAAAGAAACAAUAAACCAGAUUAAAAAUUCAACAGAAAGCAUCACCAACAGGCUAGACUACUUGGAAGACAGAACCUCAGGCAAUGAAGACAAAAUAUAUCAUCUUGAAAAUAGAGGUGAUCACAGAGAGAAGAUGUUAAGAAACCACGAACAAAAUUUCCAAGAACUAUGAGAUAACAUGAAAAGACCAAAUUUUAAGAUUUAUCAGGAUAAAUAAAGGUGUGGAGAUACAAACCCAAGAAAUGCACCAUCUUUUUGAUAAAAUAACAUCAGAAAAUUUCCCAAAUCUAAUGAAUGAAAUGGAAAAUCAAAUACAAGAGGCUUACAGGACCCCAAAUGUACAAAAUUAAACAGACCAACAACAAGGCAUGUUAUAAUGAAAAUGCCUAGCAUACAGAAUAAAGAUAGAAUUUUAAAGGCUGUGAGAGAAAAAUGUCAGAUUAUAUAUAGGGGGGAGACCAAUUCAGAUCUCAGCUGACUUCUCAAUCCAGACCCUCAAAGCUUGGAGGUCCUAGAAUAACAUAUACCAAGCUCUGAAAGAAAAUGAAUGCCAACCUAGAAUCCUAUAUCCAUAAAAUUAAUCUUCAGAUUUGAAAAUGAAAAAAAAAAAAAAAACCUUCCAUGAUAAACAAAAGUUAAAAGAAUUUGCAGCUAGAAAGCCUGCACUACAGAACCUUCUCAACAAAAUAUUCUAUGAAGAUGAAAUUUUUUUAAAAAAGUGAAAACUGGUAAAGGGAGGAACUACACUAAAGGAAUGCUCAAUCAAAGGAGAAACUAGUUCACAUUAAAAACUAGAAAUAAACUCAAAUGACUGGGAAAACAAAUCAUAUCUCAAUAAUAAUCUUAAACAUUAAUACCUUAAACUCACCAAUCAAAAAACACAGACUGUCAUACUAGACAAAAGUGCCAAAAAUAUAUAUUAGAGAAAACAGCCUCUUCAAAAAAUGGUGCUAGAAAAACUGAAAAUCCAUACUCAACAAAAUGAAAUUAAGCCUUUAUCUCUUACCAUGCACGAAACUCAACUCAAAGUGGAUCAAGGAUCUAGGAAUAAGACCAGAGACCCUGCACCUAAUAGAAGAAAAAGUAGGCCCCCAAAAUCAUCAUGUCAAAUUAGGCCCCAACUUCCUUAACAAGACUCCUAAAGUGCAAUAAAUAAAAUCAAGAAUCAAUAAAUGGGAUGGAUUCAAACUAAAAAGCUUCUUCUCAGCAAAAGAAACAAUCAACGAGGUGAUGAGAGAGCCUGCAGAAUGGGAGCAAAUUUUUACCACACACACAUUAAAUAGAGCACUAUUCUCUGGGAUAUAUAAAGAACUCAAAAAACUUAACACCAAAAAAGCCAAAUAACUCAAUCAAUGAAUGGGCUAAAUGUUCAACAUCUCUAGCAACCAGAGAAAUGAAAAUCAAAACUACACUGGGAGUUUAUCUCACUCCAGUCAGAAUGGCAGUUAUCAAGAACACAAGCAACAAUAAGUAUUGGUGAGGAUGUGGGGAAAAGGUACACUCAUACAUUGCUGGUGGGACUGCAAAUUGGUGCAAUCACUCUGAAAAGCAGUAUGGAGAUUCCUCAGAAAACUUGGAAUGGAACCAUCCUUUGACCCAGUCUUUCUGCUUCUAGGUUUAUACCCAAAAGACUUAAAAUCAGCAUACUACAGUGACGCAGCCACAUCAAUGUUUAUAGCAGCUCAAUUCGCAAUAGCUAAAGUAUGAAACCAACUUAGGUGCCCUUCCAUAGAUGAAUGGAUAAAGAGAUACUCUCUGAAAAAGAUUGUGUUGCAUUUUUAAAAAAUGGAAUGAAGUAUGGUGUUACAGGCUCAAAAUGCUUGGAUUUAGAAUCUAUAGUUAACUUGAAAUCUAUAGUUGCAGUUAGCUUUCUUCCCCUCCACAAUUGACUCAAAGCUCUCUUUGACACCUGAAUCAAAUUGCUUAUGGAACAUGUAGGCAAUAGUAGAAAUCAGUGCAAAUAAAUAGGGAACCAAUGAUUGGAUAUACACCUACACAUAUGAAUAUAUGUAUUUAUGCAUGUUUAUAAAAAUGUGAAUACACAUAUAUAUGGUGUGUCUAUACAUACACAUAUUGAGAACAAAUUGACACAUAUAUGGAAAGCUAAUAUGUAAGUACAGAUUCCAAAUCAAUCAUUUUCAAAAUGCUCCCUAGAUAUCAUAUGUAUAUAUAUGUACAAUCUACAGGUGGAAGAAGACUUUCUUGAGCAAGUACAGAAGAUAUUUAAAAAGAUGAAAAUGUUAUCAUAUAGAAAACUUUACCAUACAGUUAAACUUUUGGGCAAAACAAAGCUUCAAUAACAAAGUCAACAGACAAAUGGUAAGAUUGGAAAUAUUUGUAGCAGAGAUGACACUAAGCUUUUAUUUAUUUAUUUAUUGUUCUUUACAAAUUGACAAAAACAAAGACGAUGAACUGUCUUAGUUUGCUUUCUGCACCUAUGACGGAAAACCACAGACUGGAUAACAUACAAACAAUAGAAAUCUACUCGUUUUGGAGGCUGGAAUUUCAAUAUCAAGUGCUGGUAACAGGUGAUUGACUGCAUCAUCCCAUGGUGGAAGGCAGAAGGGGCAGGAGAGGACUAAAGGGGGACAAAGUCACUUUUAAAGCAAACCCAUUCUUGCAAUAAUGACAUAAAUCCAUUUAUGAAGGCAGAGACUUCUUGAUUUAAAAACCUCCCAUUUGGCCUGUCUCCCAACACUUCUGCAUUGGGGAUUAAGUUUCUGACACAAGAACUUCCUUUCGGGGCUGGGGAUGUGGCUCAAGUGGUAGCGCGCUCGUCUGGCAUGCGUGCGGCCCGGGUUCCAUCCUUGGCACCACAUACAAACAAAGAUGUGUCCGCCGAAAACUAAAAAAUAAAUAUUUAAAAAAAAAAAAAAGAACUUCCUUUCAUUCAUUUAAUCCAUAGCAACAAACUAAAAAUAAAUAAAUAAAUAAAAAAGGAAUGAAGAAUUAGAACAGGAAAUGCACAGAGGAGCAAACCCAAAUGGCUACAAACAGAGGAAAAAUGGCUCGUGUUAUAUCACAGUCAGGGAGCUGUAAAUUACAGUAAUAAUGAGGUAUAAGUAUCUAGUAAAAACUGAAAUAAUCAAUAACCUCUCUUGAUCAUAGUUAUGUAGAGAAAUUAUUGCUUAGAAUAUUUUAAAUGUAAAAAUAGUUAUGGAAAAUCACUAACAUAUAUUUAACAAAGAUGCAUGUGCCAUUUAUCCCUCAAGUUUCUCUCCUCAGUCCCUCCCACAAAUCAACAGAACAUAAGGCCUGUGUAAAAGGACACUUUGUGGAAGUGGCUUUAGAGCACGGAAAGGAGAGGGACACAGUAUCCAAGCAUGGAUGAGUAGCAGCCACUCCAAAGAAAGAGACUCAUGAGAGCAAAAUAGUUGCUUAAGAAGGAUUUCUGUUAAGUUCCACUUUAAAUUAAAAAAAAAUGCAGAAAAUAUACAUUGUUGGGUACUAAUAGUAACCAAACCUUCACCAAACAUGUAAAUGAAAAAUGUGUAUAUAUGAUUAUAUAAACAAGGGGAGAAAUAUACAAAUACAUUUUAGGCCACUAACAAGAAUUCAAUGCCCUGGAGGGGUGCCAAGGGAAUGCAAGCAGAAAAGAGAGGGAAGCAGAAGCUAAAAAACAAUUGGCAAGACACUUCUCUAAAGAGCAAAAAAUUAUGUGUGUGAGAUAACACGUAUGCAUUUAUGCGGCACUACAUGCAUGCUUAUGCAUAUGGGAAAUUACAAGAAGAUUGAAAAUCUACUCUAAAACCAAACUCAAACCAUGACAACAUCAAUAUAAAUACCUAGGGUUUAUUGAGCCCUUGCCCUUGGCAGACAGUUCUAAACAUGUACAGACUCAUUAAUCCUCACAAUAGCCUGACUCAGGCGAUGUUAAUAUCCUUAUUCUCAACAAGAGGAUAUUCAAACUUAUUCCUUCAUUAAUUUAGAAUGGAAUGUUAGAAAAUUAAAAUAAAAUUGUUUUAUUUGCUUAUUUUGUGAUCUUGAUUUUUUUUUUCCCUGUGGUGUCUGGGUCUAGAAGAUAGAAUUUAACAGGGUACCAUAUAUAAAGCUUGGUCUACCCAACUAGCCAGAGUUGGCGAGAUUUCAUCUAAGUCAAGGACAACCACCCUUCUAAUAGCCAUGCUGACGCUCAUUUGUUCAGAAAGAAGGCAGUGAACACCUUCUGCAUAAUUCUAGCUCCUGAGGAUUUGCUGGUGGCCAGGACAGACUGAAUUGGUAGUUGGGGCUGGCUAACAAUUUGUUUGGCCCUACUGCAUUUUGACCUCUUAUUCUGAAACUAGGUGAAAAAAAAUAAAAUAAAAUAAAAUUGUGUGGCCUUCCUUGGAUACCACCAUGGGGUGAGAUUCUGACCCCUCCUGAGAAAAGGGGAGUUUCAAUGACACCGCAAUUCUACCUGACCUGAACUUGUCCAUAAAAGCAAACCAAGAAAAGGCCACAAAAGCAGUCUUUAAUUAGCAGCCUUGCACUAGCAGGCAGCAAAUAUCCCACACUGAUGUUUUAGACAGAAGAUAGGGGUUGUGAGUUUUCUAUUUCCAUAUCUAAUUCUUUGAUUCGCACUUUUUGAUUACCAACUUUCAUGAAGACAUGCCAAGAACCAGAGCGUCAACAACAAAGUGCUUUAUGUUCAAAUACCAUGAGUCUCUACUCCAUGUCCUUUCCAUAUUGACUGUGUGAGUCUCCCUAGGAAGAUCAAGUUAAAACAGGACUACAGAAAGAAGUUACUAAUUUAUUGUAUCAAGUAAAAGCCACUGAGGAAAUCCAGAACAUGGGUCCACUGCUGUGAAUUUGAAUCCUGAACUAGAUCUUCACUCUGUAAAUAACACAAAUGAAGCUUCAUUGAGUCACACAACUCAGUCUGUCCAAAAGCUAAGACCUUCAAUUGCACACGUGUGUUUUUGCAGGGUCCGGACUUCUCCUUCCCUGCCGUAUUCCUCCCACACCAUUUUUGGCAAGGUUCACUCUGGAGAGUCCUGAAAAAGUUUCCAUCCAGUCACUCCCUUUGGUUAAUUAUUAACAGCUCUGGUAAACUUGCUGGUGGGACCGCUGAAAACAACUAACUGAAAAGAUGUUUUUGGAGUUCUUUGGGGGAUUUCAAGAAUCUAAUCCUACAUACACUGAGAUAACAGUGGGCAGAGGUGAGACAUGGAACUGAGAAAAGAGGUCUAGUCCCUCCUCUGUGACUAAUUGACCAAGUGACUCUGGUCAAAGGAGAGAAGGUAACUCAUUAAGUGGCCAUUUGGGAACUCUGCUCUCAGACUUCAUAACAACCUAUAAACUAGAAUUUUUAUCUCUUAUUGUACAAAGUGAGAGCCUUGAACCCAAAGCCUCUAAGCUCUGCAUGAGACCAUAUCGCCAUUUAAUUUACCAGUAUUUGAGGACAUAAGUAAACAAGGAAAUUGAACUUGUUGCUCUCGAAAGGGUUUUUCUAAUUCUGUAAGCCCAUGAAUCAUUUGACCAAGCAAGAAAUAAACAAUGAAUGUCUCUCUUAUAAUUUCCACAUAGCUUUUCUCUUCUUGUCCCGUAUUUCCCAAUAAACUUUGGAGACAUAUAAACAAAAUUGGAUUCUGCACAUAAGGAUGAUAAAAUAGUUGUUCACUCAUUAGUUGUCAAUAUAACACGGCCCUUAUUCCCCUGAGGCUAUUGCCUCACCCUUGUUUAUAUUGCUCAGUUCCGUCAGUUUAAAAGACAUUAAAAAGCAGAACUGGGUUGGCUGUUUUACGUUGGUGGUGAACUUUGUGCCUCAACUGUGUUGCAACCCCAAGGUUUACUCAACCCCACUGGCAAAUCAACUCUUUGAGAUAAAAGAGGUUUACUCUGGGGGAAAUCAGUAGCAGUUUAUCUUCUUCUUACUCUGAUGCUGGCAAAUAGCUGGUUGGACGUUUAAUACAGCCAUCUGCCUAUGAGAGUUAAUAGAAAAAAAAAAAUAAGAAAAAAACAAGUGGAACUCGAAGGAGGUUACUACCACAUGUGAGAAAUUAAAGCCAACACCCAGUGAGCUGUGUUGAGGACGAAUACAAACUUCUUUGAAAGAACUCUGCUUUCUCUCUGUGUAUAUGUGUCUACGUGUGUGUGCAUGUGUUCUUUAGCAUCUUAUGAAUGUGUGCACAGGAGAGUGUGAAAGAGCCAUGAGUGCAAGGAUCAUGGAAAAAAUAACCAGUGGGGACUCAGAAACAACUCCUACUAUUUUCUACACACUUAAGCAUCAUAAGACUUUGAUCCGUUUCUCAUGCUGGAAAUCAAGUUUUAUUUUGUUGAUCUUUUCCAAAUCCCAUAUAUUGUCAUUUAUAUGAGGAAAUUACACUAAAAAAGCAACAAAGUCGUUUUAAAAUGAUAUAAGGAAAUGCAGCAAUGUGAGACAUGAAGACAGAAGGGUACAAGCUGGCUCAUCGAGGAUGAUGGCUAAGCCACAAAAAGAGCAUGCAUGUUGGGAUUUGCACACUUAAACAAAUGUAACACCUCCUCCAGAUUCAAGUUAGAGGGCAGAAAGAAGACCACAGCCUUUUCCAGCUUCAGUCAAUCCUAGUGAUAUGGGUUGAAUUGUUUCUCCCCAAAACAUGUUGAUGUCCUAAUUCUCAGUACCUGUGUUUGCAACCUUAUAUGAAAAUAAGGUCUUAUAUGAAAUUACGAUAGAUACUAAUGCAACAUAAAAGGGGAAAAUUUGGACACAUAGGAACACACAAACACACACACACACACACACAAAAUGCCAUGUGAACAUGAAAACAGAAAUUGGUACAAUGCCAAAGAUUAGCAGCUGACCAUCAGAAUCCAGGAAAGAAACAUAAAACAGAUUCUCCCUCAUAGGUUUCAGGAAGAACCAAUCCUGCCACCUCCUUGAUCUUGAACUUCUGGCCUCCAGGACUACAACAUAAUAAAAUUUUGUUGCUUAAACCACCUGGUUUGUGAUGCUUCAUUAAAAUAGCCCCAGGAAACUCCUACACUUAGGUUUCCUCAAGGUCAACACCAACAACCACACCCCCCUCCUCUUCCCCUUCUUCUGCACAACAUAGCAAAGAGAAGAAACUUCCAACAUAAAAGUAAGUGUCUGAGCUGGGGGUGUAGCUUAGUGGUAGAGUGCUUGUCUAACAUGCACAAGGCCCUGGGUUUGAUCCCUAAUACUGAAAAAGAAAAAAAAAUGCCUAAUUCUACCCAAAUGCCAAAUAGAAAGAAAAAUUAGGAGCUGCUAUUGAUCUGCAAACUGUUCUCCCCAAAGGUCUUGAGUUGAGGACUCCACCUGGACAGGCCACAGUACUUGAUGAAGAAAACAGCAAAAAAAGGAUUUACCUCUAAAGAGUCCUCCAGUUUAAAUCUAAAUCAAAUUAGAUUCAGAUGUUCUCUUUGCAAUGUAUGCGUGCCUUCAGACUGCAGCCCCCUUUUUAAGGAAAAAAAAAAAAAAAACAGCUGAUUUGGGCCAUCCACUUACAUAGGUAGGUUUGAUUUCCUGGCUUUGUUGCUGUUGUUUCUUCUUAGAGAAUAGUGGAUGGAUCCUGAUACCUGAAAUGAGGCUGGAGUUAGCAGUGGCCUAAAAGACUUCAGAAAAUGGCUUUUAGCAUUAAUUUAGGAAGCAGGGUGGGUUCGAGCCACUGAGAGCUGAGCAGAUGGCAGUGCACUCUGGGAGUUCCUGGCGAGGAAUCUAUCACUAGAAGGGAUGUAUGAAUGGGAUGCUUCUGUGUCCAGGUUGCAGGCGGAACAGAAAGCUGAGGCUAGAUUUGGCAGCUUCCAAUACAAAAUGUAUUAAAGAGGAAUGAAUUUGAUUAUAAACAAAUGACAAUUUAUGUUCAUAUCUCUGGUCAGUUUCCUCAGGAAAUUUUCCUACAAACGUUGAGGCUCUUAAAUUACUCCAAUCAGGGAGUGAGAAGUUCAAUACCACAAUGGGACUUCAACUGAUCCAUAUCAAUAAGCUCUGCAAAGAUGGCAGGAAUCUAAGAAAAGUAUCAGAAUGCAGAGGAUUUCUUUCUUUCUAACUAUGACAAAUUGCAGGAAAAAAAAAUACAAUAUGAGCACAAUGUUAAUAAAAACGGAGGAUCUGGAUCUGUCAAUAACAAAAUCAGAGCCUCUUUGCAGUUCUGGAAAGAUCCCCUGGAAACUGUUGCCAUGGGGGAUGACUUCUGCCACUUAACAGGCUCGGUUCAAAGAAGAGACUUACCUCUUGGCUAGUCAUACUAAGCAUACCUCUCAUAAGGACACCUGGAGGUCCUCUGCUACUGAACACACCCAGGUUCAAAUAUUCUUCUCACCCAGUAAUGUUCACACCUCCUUCGAAGUUUGUCUCUAAGCAGCUUAAUUAGCCUUCUAGAAGGUAUCAAAGAUGCCUCAAAUGCAGUUUGAACAAUGCUCAGUAGUCAGCAGUUAAGGACGCAAUGACACAUUCAAAUAGCCAAAAUACUUUAGUGAAUCCUCAAAACAUUAGCCCUUCCUUCAAGCAAAUAACAUAUGUUUCUGCUGCUUUUCUGGUCAUUAUGUGGCUGCACCCACGGAGAGAACUUCUACAAUGUUUACCCUCUCCACAUUUGACAGCCAUCUCCACAUCCCCCAGCAGGAUGCCUGGCUGAACUGGGGGGACAGGGUAUGCUAAUGUAGGUCACCUCCACCUGCUCCUUUGAUCUGUGCCAAUUAUACUCCAGAAAGCAGGCCACAGCAACAGAAAGCAUUAAUAUUAAACAUCUAUUGAGUGAUCAUUGUCUAGCAUACUCUAUUAAUAAGCAAAUGUUUUACAUUUUCCUCAAUAUAACUUUAUGAGGUUGAGCUAUGAUUACUUCCAUUUUACAGAUCAGGAAAUGAAGACACUGAUUGUUAAGGAACAUACCUAUCGUCCCACCCCCACCUUCAGUCAGAGAACUGAGAUUUGAAACGCGCAGUAAUAGAUUCGGGAGAUUAGCAAGCUCCAGAAAGUCUGAACCCACUCUGUACCUUGCAAUAUUGGGGACUGAUGGUGGUAAGAAAACUUAAAAGAGCCUUGAUUCAACAUGUAAUGUGGGUCUAGAUAAUUCUUUUUGUGGGAGUCGGUCGGUCCUGUGCCCUGUCGAAUGUUUAGCAGUAGUUCUGACCUCUACUCAUUAAAUUCCUCAUCCCCCGUGUUGUGGCAAUCAAAAUUGUCUCCAGAUAAAAUUGCCAACCACCCGCUAGGAAGAAGGAGGAGGGGAGCAAAACCACUCCCAGAACAGAAUCACUGAAUUAAUGUACGAAAAUUUAUCCAGGUGCAGCAUUUUUUUUUCUCUUUAUUGUAAUGAUGGUGUCAUUUCUAGAGCGAUUUACAGGAGUUUUUCAAAGGCUUUUAUUAGGCUUUUUUUUUUUUUUUGUGGGGACUGUGCAUGUAGCUUCCCAUAAAGAUGAGAUGGUUCAAAAAGUGGGUAGAGACAGAGAUGGUGGGUAGAGACAAAGAUGACAAUAGAAGACACAAGGCAAAUUGCCACUCUUUUUCCUUAAUUAGGGGAAAGCUGCCUGGGGCCUGGUGUUUCCCUAGUUUUGAAACACCAGCUGACUAGAGGCUUCUGCCUUCCUGGUGAUGUCAGAACUUUUGCCAUGAUUCACAAGAGCAUUCUCAAAUGCUUCUUUUUUUUUUUUUUUUGUACAUUCCGGCCCUUCUUCCAGAAUAUUCCCCCUUCACCUUACCUUCAUCUUUCUCAGACAUAAUUCCAGAUCUAUUUCUUUGUAAAUACCACCAGAAAUCAUCAAAUUUGUUUAUUGGCUUCUUUGAUGAAUGUCUGUCUUCUCCACUUCUCAGCUUCUACUAGGUUGUAAGCUCCAUGGAGCAGGGACUCAUAAAUCAAUCCUUAUGCCUAAAAAAAAAAAAAAUUGCCUAGUACAUAAUGGGCAUUCGAUAAAUAUAUGGAACUCACUAAUUCUAGAAGUUACCUUAUUCCAAACGUUUUUACACAUCUGUUUCUGAACCAUCGACAAACCAUUCGUGAAAUGCUCUGGAUGAAGCAGUCAUGGCAGGAGUCAAAGAGAAGAAUUUUUAAGAGUCGAGUUGCCAGAUGUCAUGUUGCUGUGAGUGUAAACCACUACAGGGAGUGGUUUAGACAUCCCGGUGACCCUGGAAAAGACUCGCAAACAAACUUUCUUCUCUCUGCCGAGAUUUUUCUUAUCCCAGUGUGGGAACAAAAGCGCCUGUGUGAUUCAGCAACUUUUUGCUCCUACUGUGCACUCCACCCUUGCUAGCCCUUCCCGGGAGGAGAGUCCUGGCGCUGUGUCCAACUGACUGUAUUCAACCCUUCUUGGCUUUGCACCCUCUUUUUUCUCAUUCAUGAGCUCUCUUGGGAAAUAGGAGAUUUUAUGUGGUAUGAUGAGGAGAAACACAAAUGUAAUACAAAAACAACACAACUGUGAAAAGAAAAAAAAUGCUUUUAAUGAAACAAAUGAAUAUAGGUUGAUUCAUCAGUAGGAACACAUGGAAAUAGUUACACUGAAAUUCAACAGUUAUGACACUGUUGAAAUCCUCUUUAAUAUCUUAUUCCAAAUUACAUAUUUGGCAUUCAGGAAUUUCAUGUUAAUUGUCUGCUCAAAUAUCAAGGAAAUACCCAACUGAUGGAAAGACUCUUUUUUUUUUCUCUCAAUUGAUACUGAAGGGGAAAAAAGACCAUCUAAAAAGAACCUUAAGUCGUUGCUUCUGCAGCCAGGAAAUUUCAAAUAAAGCUUGCCUGCGUCCAAGGACUGGAAUGAGGUUAGCAUGGAAGUGAUAGCUAGGAGCAUGUAUCUACUCUGAUCUUGGUCUUCUUGGCCUCUUCUAGGCAUGGCCAUCAUUGUACAAAAUCCUGGUCCAAUAACGUCAGGCAGGCAAAAUCAUUGAUAUCUACCUGAAGUGUUCUUUCCAGUUCUGAGAUGGUAUACAUUUUCUCUCCUGGCAGAAGGACCAUCACAGUACUACAUGGACAGACUUUACCCAUUAGUCAGUGAAUCCAAAACCUGUUUCCAAAGUCCCCUGAUAACCAUGAUCAAACUCUUUUCACAUUAGUAGCACCUCACCAGAACAACAGAAUUCCAAAUCUCUUUGACAUCUCCAUGAGGGACGGUUGGAGCAACCAUCUUGUUCUGCAGAUUCUUGGUCAGACUCCUAAUAUGCUCAUUCUAUUCAGUACUCCAUCUCUUCCCCCGCCCCCCCCUCUGAAUUUCUCCUACCUCCAGUGUCUUUAUAUUCCUUUGCAAUAACAAUCUUAGGGAGUAGGCAAUAUCCCUUGUUUCACCACCUCUAAUUUAGAUUUAAAAAGAGAAGCAAAGGACCAACUUCCAACUUAUGUUUGUAAAAUGGACUGAGAAAAUAAUAUAAGCUUACAAACUGAGACAACAUAGGAUAUAUCUUGUGGCUAUGAUAUAUUAAACCUUUCUAGUGGACUUAAAUAUGUUUAGUUAACAAAGUGCCAAAGGUCUUACUAGUUUAAGAGAAAGUAAAGUACAUUGUUCAAUGUUGACAUAACAAACACCAUGGCAGAAGAAUGUACCACAGGGGUGAGCCCAAAGGACUGACUGGACAAAAAGAUCUAGAAAUAAACUUUUUCAAAAGAAAGAAGAAAUCCAAGAGAAUGCUGUUUAAAAAAAAAAUAGCACAGGACAUUUGAUAAAAGCAGCAAAGGAGACGUUUUUCAGGACUACUGCAAUUGGGGAUUGAGAUUGGAUUUAACUUCCAAUACAACAAAGAUAGUUAGGAAUUUUAUAGCCAAGAAAAAGAGUAAGGAAGUCAGUAGACAAAGAUUACUAAGAGUGGGGGAUUCUUGCUAAAGUGACGUGGCAGGAUUAAUAUUACAAAUUACAUAAUUUGGAAAUUACAUACAUGUACGUAUGUAAUUCCAAAUUACAUACAUUAUCCUGAAACUGGAUACAACAGGCCAAGGUUGAGGCCAAGCAAGCAGAGGGUUCAAAGGAGCCUAACUAAAAUUUGGUCAAAAAAUGUUCACCAUCUCUAGCAGUCAGAGAAAUGCAAAUCAAAACCACCCUAAGAUACCAUCUCACUCCAGUAAGAUUGGCAGCCAUUAUGAAGUCAAACAACAACAAGUGCUGGCGAGGAUGUGGGGAAAAGGGUACACUUGUACAUUGCUGGUGGGACUGCAAAUUGGUGCAGCCAAUUUGGAAAGCAGUGUGGAGAUUCCUUGGAAAGUUGGGAAUGGAACCACCAUUUGACCCAGCUAUUCCCCUUCUCGGACUAUUCCCUGAAGACCUUAAAAGAGAGUACUAUAGGGAUACUGCUACAUCGAUGUUCAUAGCAGCACAAUUCACAAUAGCUAGACUGUGGAACCAACCUAGAUGCCCUUCAAUAGAAGAAUGGAUAAGAAAAAUGUGGCAUUUAUACACAAUGAAGUAUUACUUUUCACUAAAAAAUGACAAAAUCAUGGCAUUUGCAGGGAAAUGGAUGGCAUUAGAGCAGAUUAUGCUAAGUGAAGCUAGCCAAUCCCUAAAAAACAAAUGCCAAAUGUCUUCUUUGAUAUAAGGAGAGUAACUAAGAACAGAGUAGGGUCGAAGAGCAUGAGAAGAAGAUUAACAUUAAACAGGGAUGAGAGGUGGGAGGGAAAGGGAGAGAGAAGGGAAAUUGCAUGGAAAUAGAAGGAGACCCUCAUUGCUAUACAAAAUUACAUAUAAGAGGAAGUGAGGGGAAAGGGAAAAAAACAAGGGAGAGAAAUGAAUUACAGUAGAUGGGGUAGAGAGAGAAGAUGGGAGGGGAGGGGAGGGGAGGGGGGAUAGCAGAGGAUAGGAAGGGCAGCAGAAUACAACAGACACUAGUAUGGCAGUAUGUAAAAACGUGGAUGUGUAACCGAUGUGAUUCUACAAUCUGUAUACGGGGUAAAAAUGGGAGUUCAUAACCCACUUGAAUCAAAUGUAUGAAAUAUGAUAUGGCAAGAGCUAUGUAAUGUUUUGAACAACUAAUAAUAAAAAAUUUAAAAAAAAUAAAAAAUAAAAAAUAAAUAAAAUUUGGUCAAGGAAAAAAGUUUGCCAACAUGCUGGUGAUAGGUGGAAACUAAAGCUAAGAUCCUCUGCCCCCAAAAGUUGGCUACAACUCUUUAGAGUUUAGGGUGAUGAAGAAAAGUCUUUUAAGAGGUGUGAGGGCUCUCACAUGGCCUGAGGGCUCCCAGAACCUCUGCAGUAGAGCAUGAUGGAGUCAGAACUUUGGUAACUCCCAGUGAGAGCUCCUGAUUCACAUGGGACAGCAGUCAAGAAGUCAGGAGUCUGUGGAGAGGUGAAUCACUCCAUUCAUUACUCGAUCAGCAAGUAUUCACAGAGUGGCCACCACACUGUCAGUGCUGUCCCAGGUGCUUGAGAUACAGAAGACAAAACAGGAAACAAAAACAAACAAACAAAUUUUUAAAAAACUAUGCUAUGAAGCAAAUAGGCGAUUAAAAAAACAAUAAAUAAAUAAUGUGGUCAGUUAGAUAUCGUGGAGAAUAAAGAUGUCUUGAAGAGAAAUUGGUGGUGUCAUUUUAAAUAAACUUGUUAGGAAAGACCUCAAUAAGAACGUGCCAACUGACUCAAGAUCUCAGUGAAGUUAAGGGAUAACCAGUGGGUAUCUUGAAUGGGUAAUAAAAGAAAUUAGCCAAUUCCUGAACCCACCACCAAAUUAAGGUAUAGCUACCAUUUUGCCACCCAAUUGCUCAGGCUCUUUUCUUUUUCACCUGGCUGUCAUCUCAAAAUGGCCCCACAGGUUUGGGUCAUUCCUUAGAGAAGCAAGUCCAGGUUCUUUCUUGUCUGAGUUAGAAACCCUUUUUCUGUAUUCCCACAGCAUGCUACUUCCUCAAUCAGAAUAGUUAUACUUUGUGGUAUCACUUACUGUUUUCUCUCCAUGUUUUUCUGUAAUGGCUGAGAAGCUCUUCUUAUGCCACUCAGUAUUAUAACCCUGUUGGCCACACAGUACCAAGGAGGCAGUGUUGCACUGGAAUGAGACCAUGUGAAUCCAUAAUCUGGCUCUACCCGUAACUUAACAUGUGUCCUCAGGCAAAUUAGCCUCCCUGUAGCUCCAUUUCCUCAUUUUAUAGUACGGGAGGAUGAACCUGGAACAGAGAAAAUGCUCAAUGAAUGGAUCUAAGCAUGGCUAAGUCCUUCCAGAACAUUUCAGUUCACAGAGUGUUUCCUUCCAUGAUAGCCUGUCAAAGACAGUGUGGCCCAAUGCAAGGAGCAGGGGUUUAGGCUCAGAAGAAUCUGAGCCCAUUUUAUUACUAAGCUCCAUUUUGUAAUUUUAUAAACAGGGAUAGAGAUAUCCCUUUCAAAAGUUUGCUGAGAAUUAAGAGAUAACCUACACAGGGGCCUUAGAUAGAGUAGGUCCUUGACAGUUGUCUAUUCCGUCAUCACCAUUGUUCACACUUUAUCUAUUGUUAUCAUCCUUCAUUAACCCAUCAUUAGGCGGUGUCUCAUAAACACUUCUUGCGUAGUCAUUUAGGACUUAGGUCCACACUGUGGCUUCCCCAAGAGACUGUCAUUUCUUUGGAAUAGGGCUGUGUGCUUUAUUUCUCAGAGAUUCUCAUAAUGCCUUGCAUGGAACCAUUCCCAGCAUAGGCCCUUGAUAUGAAUCAAAUGAAUAAUAAAUAAGGGGAAGAGAGAGAGAAAGAGAGGGAGAAGGGUUUUGUUAAGUCAAGGGUUAUAUGAAGAAUACAGACCUAGGAAUGGCUCAUGGAAAUCAAUGUAAAUGACUCAUGCAAAUGAGAUAACUGAAAUAUAUUUAAGGCUCCCUUAGGGGGAGAAAAAUUCCAUUUCCAUCCCUAGGAUAUAUAUUUAUCUGUUCAGAAUUCUGUAGAUACAGUCCUUUCUAAUGAAAGAGAUGACCUCUCAAGAUCCUUUCUUGACCUAUUAUAUAAUCUUUCUCUCAAUCUCUCUCUCGUUUUUUUUUUUAUUAUCAAUGAAUUUAGAUGGGCAGAAGACAAAUAACACUGUAUGAAUGAAAUGCUUAUUUUUCCACAUGAUACAAGUGAAAUAUUCCAAGAGAUAACAUAGCUACAGUUCAAAGUAUUACUAAGAAAAACUAGCUACAUUUUUAUUAGAUAGAAGAAUCUCACUGCAAAUAAACCAAUCUGCUCUUUUACUCCUAAACAGGAAAAUCCUAAAUUAUGAAAGAAAGACAUAAGUUCUUGUGAUUACAGAAUGCAUUGCAAAAUAUGUAUCAUAGAGAGGCUACUACUGAUAACCCAAGUACUGAGGGGUGAUGAGUUUAAAUCUCUAUAAAGGAAAGUGGUUGGGCCCAUGGGAAAAGAUACUUGUUUUGCAAAAUGAUAUCUGUUUCACAAAAAGAUACCUGUUUCCUUAAUGAAUUGCUUCAAAACAAAAUUGAAGCAAUUAAGGAACUUACAAGUUCACCCCAACAAACCCCCCCGCCCUGAAAACAAUCUAUGGGCCCUCCAGUCUACUUCUUUUUAAAUGUAAACAUAAAAAAAGUUUCCCAUUCUGGGACUCAAGAACACUAAAGAUCCAUAGGCACCUUCUCGAGAAUCAUGCAUUAUAUAAAAUUUUAAAAUAUUUUGUAUAGGGCUGGGGUCGUGGCUCAGAAGUAGAGCAUUUGAUUUACAUGUAUGAGGCACUGGAUUCAAUUCUCAGCACUCCAUAUAAAUAAAUGAAUAAAAUAAAGGUCCAUCAACAACUAAAAAAAUAUUUUAAAAACAAUUUUAUGUGCUGGGGUCAUGGUUCAGUGGUACAGUGCUGGCCUCACAUGUGUGAGGCACUAGGUUCGAUUCUCAGCACCACAUAUAAAUAAAUAAAACAAAGGCCCAUCAACAACUAAAAAAAUAAAUAAAUUUGUAUACUAAUGUAAGUGAUAUAGCUUUAAAUUCUUUUAACAGUUUUAACAGCAGGACUAUAUUUAUUAUCUAUUGCUGUCAUAACAAAUUAGCACAAACUUAGUUUACCCUCUUACCACCUUGUCAACACAAAUUUAUCAUCUUACAGUAUUCAGGUCAGAAGACUGACACAGGUCUCACUAGGCUAAAAUCAAGGAAUGAGCCGGGCUAGACUCCUUUCUGUAGGGUUCUAGGGGAAAAAAAAAAAAUCUUGCCUUUUCAAGUUAUAGAAGUUACCCAUAAUCCUUAGUUUGUAGCCUCCCUCUAUCUUCAAAGCCAGCGAUAUAUAGCAUCUCUCCAGCCCUGCUUCUGCUCUCACACUUGUCUCUCAGAUAGCAUAGGCAGGCUCUGUAUUUGCUUAUAUUUUCAUAUGAGCAAAUACAGAUGCCUAUUGUUGAUGAAUUCACCUAAACAAUUCCUGUUUCAAGGUCCUUAAAAUUAAUCACAUCGUCAAAUCCCUUUUGCCACAUAAGAAUACACAAUCUCACUUUUGCAGGUUUUAGGGAUAAAGACAUAGACAUUUUGGCUGUUCAGUUGCCCCCCCCCCUCCAAAAGAAGAAGAAGAAGAAGAAGAAGAAGAAGAAGAAGAAGAAGAAGAAGAAGAAGAAGAAGAAGAGGAAGAGGAAGAAGAAGAAGAAGAAGCCCAGCAUAGUGGUGCAUGCCUAUAAUCCCCCAACUGAGGAGGUUGAGGCAGGAGGAUGACAAGUUCAAAGCCAGCCUCAGCAAUGAUGAGGCCCUAAGCAACUCAGUGAAACCCUGUCUCUAAAAAAAAAAAAAAAAAAAAAAAAAAAAAAAAAAAAAAAAAAAAAAAAAAAAAAAAAAAAAAAAAAAAGAAAGAAAACACAAGUCUCACAUGAAAGAAAAAGCAACCUGAAAAUAUUAAAAGAAAUUAAAACCAAUCUACACAAUGGAAAAUUAAAACAAAUACCUGGGAAGAGGUGAGGGAAACAGGCAUUUUUAUGUUUUCAUAUGAGCAAAUCUUCAUCAAGCACUGCUUUAAGAAUAAAUGUGAGGGGUGAUGGAGAGUUCACAGAGCUUUGUAAACCAUGAUCUGCCCUUUCCUCUUCCUCAUUCCUCUCUGCACAGUCCGGCCUCACCCACCUGAUCCUCAUAGCAAGACUAUGAGAGACUUGGGCUCUUGACACUGUGCAGUGUGGUGACCUGGAGUGUGGAGUUACUACAUUUAUCAAACACUAGGAGCUCAGAUGUCCUAAGGACAUAUUUGUGCAUGUGUGCACACACUCACACACACACACACACCAUGCAGACAAACAUAUGUAGACACACUGCCUUUUAUAAAAGGGGGUAUUAGUACACAAAUGACCCAAUCUGAGGCUCACUCACAACUCAUCAAAUGGCUUUUUCCUAUAAAAAUUAAUCCAAAUUAGAAAUAAAAAAAUAUGAUACCACUCUGAGCUAUACUUUUUUUUAAUAUUUAUUUUUAAUUGUAGUUGGACACAAUACCUUUAUUUUAUUUAUUUUUAUGUGGUGCUGAGGAUCGAACCCAUAGCCUUGCACAUGCAAGGUGAGCACUCUACCACUGAGCCACAACCCCAGCCCCUGAGCUAUACUUUUUAAGGUGCAUUUCUAAUGAUGCAGUUUACCACCACCAUGUUCCCCCCAUAUAGAAGAAAGGGCAUUAGUAGCAAAUUUCAGUGAUACUCUCCUCCAGAAAUAGACAGGGUGUGGGGAUAGUCCUCUGGAAAUAUUUACUCACGUUAACCUGUGUGUUGAAUGCCAGGUUCUGCAACGGAGUCAAUAUACUCUGAUCUCUCAUUGUAUCUUUUUAUCACUUUUUCUCACAUAAAUAGUUUGAGUUUCCAAACCUCUGACAUUCUGCUAUAAAUACCAUUCACUCAUGUUUUGUUAAAACACUCCAUGUUACUUCUUGGAUUCCAAUUACUCAACAGAAGGUGCAUUGAAUUUGCCUGGGAAACAGGGACAAUGUCUGAUUGUAAAAAUUUAUAGCAUUCCCUCCCUCCCCUCAGAGUAUUUUAGACAUCUAAGAAAGUUAAACCCUGGGGGAAAAUAUAAACAAGCUGCUUGAAAUAUCCACACAAUUACAUAUUUUAUUUGUGAAAAAAAAAAAAAAAAAAAUACUGCCGCCAUCUUGCCAGGCAGUGCAGAAAGCAAACAUUUAUCUCCACAUAAUUCACACAUUUUUUCUUCAUUCCCAACAACGCCUAAAUGGCCUAAAUGAUAAAUUAAACAUUUGGCUAAAACAUACCAAGAUCCCAAGUGUAAAUGGUGAGACUGCACCCUGCUUUUAGUAAUAAGUGAGGUAGUAAAUAUUAGAUGAAUCAAUAAGCUUCUCAGAGAAUGACUUCACCAAAAUGCUACGCAUACCAGGGCAAGGAACCAUAUUUGAACUCUUUCCUUUCUGAUGGUUGAAAAACACAUUUAAUUCCCCAUAGAGCAAAGGUCUCUUUCUCUCUCUCUCUCUCUCAACACACACACACACACACACACACACACACACACACCAAGGCGGUUGAAAAUACAAAAUCCGAGGAUGCACAAGUCCUUUAUAAAAAAUGGUACAGUGUCUACAUACAACCCUUGCACAUCCUCUGAUAUGCCUUAAUUCAUCUCUAUGUCACUUACAAUACCUAAUAUAAUGUGCUAUGCAAAUAGUUAUUAUACUGUAUUGUUUAGAAAUAAUGUAAUGACAAGGAAAAAGCCUAUGUUAUUAGACACAAUUUUUUUUUCUGAAUAGUUUUGAUUCAGUGUUCAUUGAAUGUACAGAUAUCAAGUUCAGGGAUCUGGAGGACUGACUGUAUACACACAUGCACACACACACAUACACACACACACACACAUCUCACACUGGAUCUUGAACCCAUAAUCAUGUCAUAAGUUAAACAAAAUUGAUUUCACAAUCUGAGCAGAGGGAAGUACUAAGAAUUUGGGAUCAAACAGCUAUAACCUGUGUUAGAAUGAUGUUGGAAGUCUCUGUUGCUUUCUUCAAGUCUAUGUAGGGGAAACAAUGACUCCUUUGUAAAAUGAUUGAGCAAAUUGACUUGCACCUGGUAGAUGGUAGGCACUAGCUAAAUGAAAACUGGUAGCAUUAAUCAUAUAACUGAUGAGUUCACUUAUCAGAGGUUGAGAUUCUACUCUCCUCUCUGCACUAACAUCCUGGGGCCCUAGACAUACCCUUAUUUGAUGCCAUCGGUACAUAUUUCAGCUCAUAUAAUUUUUUUCUAUUACUCAAUUUAAUUCACCUUCUGACCCUUCAUUGUACAUAUUGGGAGAUACCUGCAUUCAGGUAAAUCAGGGUCCUUCCUCCAUCUUUUCUCUAGAGUUCUAUCAUGAUUUAGAGUUAACAAAAGAAAAGUAUUAGCUCACAGCCUAGUGAAGGAGAAAGAUUUUUUUAAUCUAAUUUUUCCACAUUUGUAUGGGUGCAUUAUAUUUGUACAUAAUGGUGGAAUAUAUAUGCACACAAUAUCACAAUACAAUUUUGUCAAUAUCAUUCAAUAAAUCUAUUUUAAAACAAAAAAAAAGAAAGCACUAUCAUAGUAGAAUGACAUUUUGAAACAUUUAGCACCAUUUCUUAUUUAGAACUCCAUGUUUUGGCAUCAUUUCAGUAUCGUGGGAAUCUUUGCCAAAAGGAUAUUAUAGCAAAAGAUAGACUGAAAGUUUUUGAGUUUCAAAAGCCUACUCCCUGGGAACUCAGAGACAACAGGAUGGGGUUAAAGUAAGUCUUCUCAUAGGCCUCCUCCCACCUUCCACCCAUGUCACCAUCCACUGCAUAACAUUUCCUCAGCAUGCAGGGAGAAAGAAAAGUCAGGACAGAGAAGAACUUAGAGCAGCCAGGUAGGUCAGAAGGGACUGUGAGCAGGGAAAGGCAGAAUGCCAAGACCCUAAGUAAAAUGGAGGUCUCCAAAAACAGGGAACCUAUACUUCCCUUCUUCCAUGGAAUCCUGGAGGAGCAUCCACACACCAAGGAAGAAAUGUCAGCAUGCUGUAUCCCAGGGGACAGGGCUCAGACAGCCUUGCUGAGCUAACAGAAUGAUUUUAUAUGCCUAAGAGCAUUCUCGACAGAGCAGGGUCUUAGUAUCCUGAACUUCCCCGUUUCCCAACGUAAACUGGGAAUAUAAAUUGUCAGAGGCCCAAAAAGACGACAAAGCUGGGAGGUUUGCUGAAUCUGAGGACCUGUGAUGAAAGUGAUGUUACAGCCACCAGUCUAGAUCAACGGUCCAAAUGGCAUAAGUUUAAACAUAAUCCCAGAGGAAAGGUAGGAAAAAUAUCCUGAUCCACCAGAGCCGAGGUCCUAAGAGGUUGAACAGGGUUCAAAGUAUGAAUUAAAUUGGAGAAUUUUUAAAAUGAACUGAAAUGUGUGCAGAUGACACUGAGAACAAGGGACGAUUCCCAAGGCAGAGUCUACAGGAUGCAGGGAAGCUGACUUUGAGACUGAAGGGUGGAAGGAAUUCUGUAGGGACUAGGAGGGCUCUCAGCAGCUGUGCAGUGGCACCAAGGUGGGAAUGCAAGUAACCUGGGGUGGGACAGCAAGUAACGUGGUAGGGCUGGUCCUAGGGAACAGGGUGGGGAGUGGUAGGAAGAGUAGCUGGAAAGGAAACCUGGGUCAAACCAUGAAGCCUAUUAUAUAAAAUACCCUGGUGGUUGAAGAGAGGCAUUCUGGCAAUCAUGCCUGGAGUGAUUUGGGAUGGAGAGAUAAGAAGCUUAUGCUCCAAUUAGAGACCACAAGUCCAAUCUAGCUCAGAUGGCAAAUGAAAACAGGACUGACUCAAGGAGAAAGCAAAUAGAAUAAAGCUAAAGAAAGCACUUGGUACAUCUAUGAAAGAACAGGCCGAGAUGGAUUUAAAUGACAUUUAUUCCACUUAGAAGAGUGCUAGUUAUGUGUCUAAAUUUGAUUUUGUUUUUUAAAGAAGAUUAAAUUCCUGAGAUCAGAUAUCUCACUAGAAAUUCUUGAUUUUUUAAAAAAAAAUCAGAUUUAAAGACAAUAAAUUAUCAGGCAUUCUGAUUUGGCAUUUUUAGUUACAUAGUAAAAUGUCCCCAUUUCUGGGCAUUUUUUUUUUAAAGAAGAGGAGCUAUGUAGUCUCAGAAAUGUGGUUAGCUUUGAAACAGUACUUACUUGUUUCCAUCAAAGGUAGAUUUCAGUGAGAUCUAGCUGAGAAUGGAACAUUCUUUCAGUCAACAAGUACAAAAUUUAUUAUUGGCAGAGGUGAUUCUUCCUUUUAUUGUUAUGAUAUUUCCUCUUCAUUCUUCUUUAAAACUAUUGUAAUUUAUUCUUCUCAAUGCACUAUUGCUAGAUGAAGUCGUGUAGCAAUAAGGGAAAUUCAGUGUUUCCAAAGCAGACGGUGUAACUUGCAGAAAGAGGGAUCAGAGAAAAGCACUUCAUUUGCUAAUAUUAAUUCCUUUCCAGUCCCAUAGUUGUUGUUGUUUUUUUUUUUUUUCCUUCAGUUCCUCCGGUAGCUUUACAUUUCCUGCUGUAGUACACAGUGAAAUUCUUUCUUUUUUUUUUUUUUAAUUUUUUAUUGUUGGUUGUUCAAAACAUUACAUAGUUCUUGAUAUAUCAUAUUUCACACUUUGAUUCAAGUGGGUUAUGAACUCCCAUUUUUACCCCAUAUACAGAUUGCAGAAUCACAUCAGUUACACAUCCACUGAUUUACAUAUUGCCAUACUAGUGUCUUUUGUGUUCUGCUGCCUUUCCUAUCCUCUACUAUCCCCCCUCCCCUCCCCUCCCCUCCCCUCUUCUCUCUCUACCCCCUCUACUGUCAUUCAUUUCUCCCCCUUGUAUUAUUUUUCCCUUUCCCCUCACUUCCUCUUGUACAGUGAAAUUCUUGAAAUAUAAAAAGCUUUCAUUUGGACAGAAGAAUACUUUAAAAGCAAAUUUUAUUUCUUCCAUGUCAAAAAAUAAAGUAUUUUAUGCUCCUUGGGUACUGCUAUGUCCAAAGACACAAUUUUUUAAGUAGUUCUUUAUUGCAUAAAUUCUGUUCAUGCAACAUCAUAUAUUCCUUAAGUAUUAUGUCAAUACUAAACGAAGGUAAAGAAAAGAAAUGGAAAAGCCUAACUAUCUUGCUGGUGAGGCAUUCAAAUCUAAGGCAGUAUUUUCUCUAAUAUUCUUCUUUAAUAAAUGUGUUUUUCUGUUAUAAACAGAGUAUCAUCAUAUAGUUCAAAAUAAAGUGAAAAGGAGAAAAAAGUGGCCCUUGAAGAACUGGAAUAGAGAAUGCUCAGGCCAGCAGACUGGGCUUAACUGAUCAGAAGCAUUUCAAUACACAGGAAAGAAUAUACUGUACAGAGUGAAUAUAGAAAAGGAGUAGAUGCAGGGAAAAAAAAGAUGUAGAGGACAGAAAAUAAUUCUAUGUUAUUUGUGCAGACUGCUAGGCAUCCUAUGUCCUCCAAACAAGUACAGAAAGCCACACAGUUCACAUUCAGAACUCCUGGAGCAUCACAGGUGGGAGAAGAACCCAAGGUACAGCAGCUGGAGCUGUUGGUGCAAGAUUUUUCACUCGUCAUAUUAUGAGGUGGCACAAAGCAAAUGGGAAGGGUUGGGUAUAAGUCUCCAGGACAGAGACCUUAAUUCUCAAAUGGGGGACUUUUAAUGAACACAAUUAAUAAUGCACUUUUCCUUAUUAGGUCAGAAGUGUGGAAAAAUAGCAUCAUGAGAUGGCAGAACCUAGACUCCAGGACUUUCCUCUCAAUUCAGCUUUAGUGGCUGCAGAGAUCACCUCCAAAGUGAUCAGCAUAAUGUAGAAGGUAUCAGCAGAUCGGCUGCGUCACGUUCAUGGUUAGGAUCCUUAGGAUCGCACCUCUCCUCCCUGACACGAUGAGGGCUGGGGUCAGAGCCCUGAGAGAACAGUUUUAGAUGGUGAAUCUUUACUUCUCACCCAAUAUCCAUUACCCACUUUGUCCCUGAUAUUUUUUGGGGGGAGCAGGGUAGGGGAUUUAGCCCAGGGGCACUUUACCAUUGAGUUAUUUUUUUACUUUGUCACAGGGUCUCACUAAGUUGCUAAGGCCGGCCUCAAAUUUGUGAGCCUCUAGCCUUAGCCUCCCAAGUUGCUGUGAUUACAGGUAUGUGCUACCAUGCCCAGCUGUCCCUGAUUUUUGGCAGCACAUUUGGCUAUGCAGGAUAGUCUUAAUUUUCCAGAUUUAUUUUCAAGGAGCCUUGGAAUUUGAUUCUGGACUAUGCUAGGCUUGGUGGCACACAUCUGCAAUCCCAGCAACUGGGAGGCUGAGGCAGAAGUUUAAGUCAACUUAACUGUACCCAGUCUAAAAAUUUAAAAAAAUCAAUCAAUCAAUCAAAAGGACCAAGGAUCAUUGCUGGUGGGACUGCAAAUUGGUGCAGUCAAUUUGGAAAGCAAUAUGGAGAUUCCUUGGAAAUCUGGGAAUGGAACCACCAUUUGACCCAGCUAUUUCUCUUCUCGGACUAUACCCAAAGGAUCUAAAAACAGCAUACUACAGGGAUGCAGCCACAUCAAUGUUUAUAGCAGCACAGUUCACAAUAGCUAAACUGUGGAGCCAACCUAGAUGUCCUUCAGUGGAUGAAUGCAUAAAAAAAAAUGUAGCAUUUAUACACAAUGGAAUAUUAUUAAGCAUUAAAAAGAACAAAAUCAUGGCAUUUGCAAGUAAAUGGAUGGAGUUGGAGAAGAUAAUGCUAAGUGAAGUCAGCCAAUUCCAAAAAAACAAAUGCAGAAUGUUUUCUCUGAUAUAAGGAGGGUGACUCAUAGUGGGAUAGGGAGAGGGAGCAUCGGAUGAUUAGAUUAAUUCUAGGUAGGGAAGAGGGAUGGGAGGGAAAGGGAGGGGGAAGGGGAUUAGCAAGGAUGGUGGAAUGUGAUGGUCAUCAUUAUACAAAGUACAUGUAUGAAGACUUGAAUUCGGUGUCAACAUACUUUAUAUAUACAAACAGAGAUAUGAAAAUUUGUGGUAUAUAUGUAUAUUAAGAAUUGUAAUACAAAAAAAAGUACAUGUAUAAUGGCAUUUAAAAAAAGGAAAAAAAAUGUGAUCCAUUUCAGUAUAUCUUCAAUGUUCUCACACCCACAAAAAUAAAAUAGUAACUGUGUGGUGGUGGCUAUUUUAAUUAACUUGAUUGUGUUGAUUAUUUAUCAAUGCAUAAUUCAUCAAAAUAUCAAGUUGUAUACCUUAAAUACACAAAAUUUUUAUUUGUAAUUUCUAGCUCAGUAAUGCUGAAAAUGACCUGAGAAACAGAUAUUUUUUAAUGCUAUCUGUGUAUCCAAAAUGUGUAGUUAUCUAAUAUAAAUGCAAAGACAUUUUAAAAAAAUAAAUAAGCAUUUAUUUUGUUUGGGAUUUUUCUGUCAUUCACAUCUAAAUGAUUCACGGGGGCAAGCUCUACUCAGGGCUGAGAGUAUACUGGCCAAUAUGUGACUCAAGCCCAAAGAUUCAUGCUAGCUGCUCUUCGGUGAGGCAUUUCUCCUUGCAGUGAAAUGGAAUGUAUCCAACUAUUAUGACCUUUAAAUAUUUGCAUUAUAGAAAAGAGUUCCCUUGGUCCAAUCCCAUAUUCAUCCAGCAACUUAAUUAUAGUUGUAAUUUGACUUUCUGCAAGGCAGGAAGAUCAUACUCUGACCCAAUGAUGAGAGGGCCUGUUUCCCCUGACAGUUAUAAUUUUCCUUGCAUAUUGAUAAACUGAUGUUCUGGGUUUUAAAGGAGUUUUUAGGAGCCCAUCAUAGAGAAAAUGAAUAUUCCAAUGGGCUGACCAGAUCAGGUUUCUGCAAACUGUAGGCCAGUUCUUGCACUGGGAAAACUCUCCAAGUUUAUGGCAACCUGUAAAAUCUUUCUGAUGGUCACCCCACUUCUCUUGCCACUUCUCUAACAUUGCCUUGUGCUUUCUUUUCUAGGCUUCAACAAUCAUCGUCAUCAUUGGAAGCAAUCACUUGAAUUGAUUCAGAGUGAAUGAUACAGUUAAUUGGCUAUUUCUCAUUAGCCAAGAACAUAUGGCACACUAAGGACAAGGGAGGGAAUUUGUAUUCACGGUGGCUGUGAUGGAUUUCUAUACGCAAUUUAUUUUUGCAAAUUAUCUUGGAGCUAAAUAAAAUUACAAUAGAUCGAUUCUGCACAACUAUGAUUAAAGGACUAUUCUGGAGUCAUGCUAACCUUGAGUUUAAUUAUUCCCUACACUGCUUAGCAGCUGUGUGAUAUGAAGCAGGUUGCUGUUUCUCUAAGCCUCAGGUUCCUCAUCUAUAAAACAGGAAAGACAAUGGUACCAUCUCAUUAGGUUCUCAUCAUGAUUUAAUUAGUAUAGCAUGCCUCAAGCUCAGAGAACAAUGCCUGACAUACAGAAAGUACUGCUAGCAAUUCUUCUUUUGAGGAUGGAGAGAAUCCAUGUACACACAGAGUGUUCCACCUAUAGCAACAACGUGCGAUCAUCUUACGUUGGCCAUUGCCUUGCCGUCAUUGUUAGCCAAAGUCACUCAGUAUGGUAUUCCAGGUCCUUGCUUAGUCACAAUGGGGCAGAGAUGGUCACUGCAGGGGACAAACCCUUGCUGCCGGGGUGGCAGCCAUACUGGUAAACACAACUUCAGCUGUUGUCAGCUGUCCUCCCUGAUAAGGCUGGCCUUGAUACUGCCCAGCUCUGAUAAGGGAGGAGGACUAUCUACAAACAAGGCCUUUUAGAAACUCAAGAGGGCUAGUCCCUCUCCAGUUUCCUUCCCCAGUCUUUGCAAAAUAGACACGGGGUGAGGGGCACAAGUACAUGACUCUAAACAGGAGAAAGUUCAGACAAGCUGGCUUGCCAGCUAAAUGGCCCUAAACAGGGGCUACCACAGGGCUUAUCAGGACCCUAAAGGCAUGCCUUGUCACCCUGCCUCUCACUUCCAUGGAAAUGAAUGUUAGGCCCCUCCCAGGCUGUGGAAAGGAUGUCCCUUAUAAUGUCAAAGAGCUUCUGCAUGAGAGCACCUCAAUGUAAGACUGGCAUUUUUAAAAUGAGCUUUAUUUUUAGAGCAGUUUUAGGAUCAUAGCAAAAUUGAUCAGGAGGCACAGAGAGCGCUUGCCUCCCCCCAGCACACACACAGCCCUCCCCACCAUUCCACCAGAGUAGUGUACCUGUCCUCCUUUGACACAUCAUUAUUAUCCAAAGUCCAUAGUUUACAUUUGAGUUCAAUCUUGGUGUUGUAACUUCUAUAGGUUUGGACAGGGCAUCAUUGCAUUUAUCUACAUUUACAGUGUCACAAGAAAAACUUCACUGCCAUAAAAAUCCUCUCUGCUUUGUGUAUUUAUUACCAUCCAACCUCUGGCAACCACUGUUCUUUACUUUCUCCAUUGGUUUUGCCUUUUGCAGGUGCCAUAUACUUG